UGAACGCUGGCGGCGUGCCUAAUACAUGCAAGUCGAGCGACCAGACGAGGAGCUUUCUCCUCUGGCGUUAGCGGCGGACGGGUGAGUAACACGUGGAUAACCUACCUAUAAGACUGGGAUAACUUCGGGAAACCGGAGCUAAUACCGGAUAAUAUAUUUAACCGCAUGGUUCAAUAGUGAAAGACGGUUUUGCUGUCACUUAUAGAUGGAUCCGCGCCGCAUUAGCUAGUUGGUAAGGUAACGGCUUACCAAGGCAACGAUGCGUAGCCGACCUGAGAGGGUGAUCGGCCACACUGGAACUGAGACACGGUCCAGACUCCUACGGGAGGCAGCAGUAGGGAAUCUUCCGCAAUGGGCGAAAGCCUGACGGAGCAACGCCGCGUGAGUGAUGAAGGUCUUCGGAUCGUAAAACUCUGUUAUUAGGGAAGAACAAAUGUGUAAGUAACUAUGCACGUCUUGACGGUACCUAAUCAGAAAGCCACGGCUAACUACGUG
rnacentral:rRNA from 1 species